ACGAACGUUGGCGGCGUGGAUUAGGCAUGCAAGUCGAACGAAUCCCAGUUUUGUAGCAAUACCGAGCUGGGGGGAAGUGGCGAAAGGGCAGUAAUGCGUGGGUAAUCUACCUCGGGGACGUGGAUAGCCAUUCUAACGAGUGGGUAAUACGCGGCGAUUUGGUUGAGGGGCAUCCCUUGGCCAGGAAAUGAAUUUCGCCUCGAGAGGAACUCACGUGAUAUUAGCUAGUUGGCGGGGUAACGGCCCACCAAGGCAAAGAUGUCUAGCGGGUGUGAGAGCACGACCCGCGCCACUGGCACUGAGACACUGGCCAGACACCUACGGGUGGCUGCAGUCGAGGAUCUUCGGCAAUGGGCGCAAGCCUGACCGAGCGACGCCGCGUGUGCGAUGAAGGCCCUUCGGGUUGUAAAGCACUGUCGAGGGGGAGGAAGCCGAAAGGUUGACCUAUCCCUGGAGGAAGGACGGGCUAAGUUCGUGCCAGCAGCCGCGGUAAGACGAACCGUCCUAACGUUGUUCGGAAUCACUGGGCUUAAAGGGCGCGUAGGCGGCUUGCCAAGUCAGGGGUGAAUCCUGCAGCUUACUGUAGAAGGGCCUUUGAUACUGGCGAGCUCGAGGGAUGGUAGGGGUAUGUGGAACUUCCGGUGGAGCGGUGAAAUGCGUUGAUAUCGGAAGGAACGCCGGUGGCGAAAGCGACGUACCUGGACCUCUCCUGACGCUGAGGCGCGAAAGCUAGGGGAGCAAACGGGAUAGAUACCCCGGUAGUCCUAGCCCUAAACGAUGGGUACUAGAUUGUAGACUUGACAUGGGUUUACAAUCGAAGCAAAAGUGUUAAGUACCCCCGCCUGGGGAGUAUGGUCGCAAGGCUGAAACUCAAAGGAAUUGACGGGGCUCACACAAGCGGUGGAGCAUGUGGCUUAAUUCGAGGCUACGCGAAGAACCUUAUCCUAGGCUUGACAUGUUCGAAAGAGGUAGCAAGUAGAGGGGAGCGGAAACGUUUCCUCCCAACGGUAUCCAAGUCCGGAAGCUACUACAGGUGCUGCAUGGCUGUCGUCAGCUCCGUGUCGUGAGAUGUCGGGUUAAGUCCCAUAACGAGCGAAACCCUGUUUCCAGUUGCCAGCGGGUCAUGCCGGGGACUCUGGAAAGACUGCCGGUGUUUAAACCGGAGGAAGGUGGGGGAUGACGUCAAGUUCCCUCAUGGCCUUUAUGCCUAGGGCUGCACACGUGCUACAAUGGCAUGAACAAAGGGACGCCAACGCGCAAGCGGGAGCAAAUCACAAAAAACAUGCCCCCAGUUUCAGAGUUGAAGGCUGGCAACUCGCCUUCAUGAAGUUGGAAUCGCUAGUAAUCGCAGGUCAGCAACACUGCGGUGGAAUGCUGUUUCCUGAGCCUUGUACACAACACGACCCGUUCCAAGCCACGAAAGGGAGGGACAUCCGAAGUCGCCUUUACCGGCGCCGAAGAUGGACUUUCUGAUUGGGACU
rnacentral:rRNA from 1 species